rnacentral:rRNA from 1 species
GAUGAACGCUGGCGGCGUGCCUAAUACAUGCAAGUCGAGCGAACGGACGAGAAGCUUGCUUCUCUGAUGUUAGCGGCGGACGGGUAAGUAACACGUGGAUAACCUACCUAUAAGACUGGGAUAACUUCGGGAAACCGGAGCUAAUACCGGAUAAUAUUUUGAACCGCAUGGUUCAAAAGUAAAAGACGGUCUUGCUGUCACUUAUAGAUGGAUCCGCGCUGCAUUAGCUAGUUGGUAAGGUAACGGCUUACCAAGGCAACGAUGCAUAGCCGACCUGAGAGGGUGAUCGGCCACACUGGAACUGAGACACGGUCCAGACUCCUACGGGAGGCAGCAGUAGGGAAUCUUCCGCAAUGGGCGAAAGCCUGACGGAGCAACGCCGCGUGAGUGAUGAAGGUCUUCGGAUCGUAAAACUCUGUUAUUAGGGAAGAACAUAUGUGUAAGUAACUGUGCACAUCUUGACGGUACCUAAUCAGAAAGCCACGGCUAACUACGUG